GGGGCUGGUGGGGUUCAUCUUCUUGAAUCUACUGUCUCCACUGCGGAGCUAUAUACUGCUUGGGAGGGUAUCUCCUAUGCUAGACAUACCCUCAGGACGGACCGACUGAUGGUGUGGGGAAACUCUACUACUGAUGGUUAGUUGGAUUCAUUAUCAGGAGGUACCACUGUCUCUAGCUAUUUUAUCUGCAUAUUCGUUAUUUGCUGGUUGGUUGUGCUUUCAUUGACGUUAGACACAUUUAUCGUAAGACGAAUAAUGCUGUGGAUUAGAUGGUGAAUUUUGUUGCCGAUCACUUUGGAAAAGAUAGUUGGUCGGAUUUUGAUAUUUUGCCAUCUGAUUUUUAAAAUAUUUUUUUUUCUAAAUUUUGGACUGUAUUCAUUUUCGCAUUGUAUGAACGCUCCUUCAAAAAAAAAAAAAAAAAAAUGUUCAUCCAGACGCUUAUUUAGGACUCAAUUCAUCGUCACAAAUGAAUAGACGCGAUGAUCCGGGGGAUGUCAAGUUACCGCCUGACAAUGAUCAGACGGCCAUGAUUGGAUUCAGCCAUUUCACAGAAUGGGAGGGGUAAUCUUGGCACCCUCAACCCCUUAUCCU
rnacentral:lncRNA from 1 species